CGAGCAGGGUCGAAAGACGGACUUAGUGAUCCGGUGGUUCCGCAUGGAAGGGCCAUCGCUCAACGGAUAAAAGCU
rnacentral:rRNA from 1 species